CACGAACAAACGCUACCAUGGCGAUUAUCCCCUGAAAUUUGCAUCGUUCUUCUCCAUCAGUCGGUCUCCAUUCUUCACUCCGGCUAGGUUUUUGAAAUUAGGUUGGAAACUAUAGUCGAUAAACGAAUUGAUUCCUCUUCGCUGUUUCUAUCGAACCAUUGAUCAUCUUGUCAGACAGGAAAGUAAAUUUUUGAAGUUCUUAAGGUUUAUGUGGAACCCUCUAUCAUGGGUUAUGGAAGCAGCAACUAUUAUGGCCAUUGCACUGGCCAAUGGAGGAUUUUUAAAGAACGUGCAAAGUGAUAUGCUCCUCAAAAGUAGAGCAAGCAACAUGAGUCUGCUUAAGACACUAUUCAAGCAUUGGAUGUUCUCAGGGAUGCUCCAUCGAAACUGUAAGAUUCUUAAUGCUACCUUAUUUUAUCAUUUGAAAAUGUCUUGGUCAGUAGUUUAUUUUGGUUUGGGUAUGUUGUUGUGUGACUUUAUAAAUUAUAAUAGUGUACUCUAUGUGGUUCUAUAGGAAU